GACGAACGCUGGCGGCGUGCUUAACACAUGCAAGUCGAGCGGAAAGGCCACUUCGGUGGUACUCGAGCGGCGAACGGGUGAGUAACACGUGGGUAAUCUGCCCCUGGCUUUGGGCUAGCCACCGGAAACGGUGAUUAAUACCGGAUACGACCACUUCUCGCAUGGGAUGGUGGUGGAAAGUUUUUUCGGCCAGGGAUGUGCUCGCGGCCUAUCAGCUUGAUGUUGAUGUAAUGGCUCAACAUGGCUUCGACUGGUAGCCGGCCUGAGAGGGUGCUCGUUGACACUGGGACGGGGACAGGGCCGAGAUUACUAAUGGAGGCAGCAGUGGGGAGUAUUGGAAAAUGAUCGGAAGCCUGAUCCAGCAACGCCGUGUUAGGGAUGAGGGCCUUCGGGUUGUAAACCUCUUGCAGCAGGGACGAAGCGCAAGUGACAGUACCUGCAGAAGAAGCACCGGCCAACUACGUGCCAGCAGCCGCCGCCG
rnacentral:rRNA from 1 species